AUGGGUUAAACAACCGUUGAGCAACCUGCCCUGAACUCUGGGAUAAGCGCUGGAAACGGCGUCUAAUACUGGAUAUGAGCUGCGGAGGCAUCUUCGUGGUUGGAAAGAUUUUUCGGUUUGGGAUGGGCUCGCGGCCUAUCAGCUUGUUGGUGAGGUAAUGGCUCACCAAGGCGUCGACGGGUAGCCGGCCUGAGAGGGUGACCGGCCACACUGGGACUGAGACACGGCCCAGACUCCUACGGGAGGCAGCAGUGGGGAAUAUUGCACAAUGGGCGGAAGCCUGAUGCAGCAACGCCGCGUGAGGGAUGACGGCCUUCGGGUUGUAAACCUCUUUUAGCAGGGAAGAAGCGUGAGUGACGGUACCUGCAGAAAAAGCGCCGGCUAACUACGUGCCAGCAGCCGCGGUAAUACGUAGGGCGCAAGCGUUAUCCGGAAUUAUUGGGCGUAAAGAGCUCGUAGGCGGUUUGUCGCGUCUGCUGUGAAAACCCGAGGCUCAACCUCGGGCCUGCAGUGGGUACGGGCAGACUAGAGUGCGGUAGGGGAGAUUGGAAUUCCUGGUGUAGCGGUGGAAUGCGCAGAUAUCAGGAGGAACACCGAUGGCGAAGGCAGAUCUCUGGGCCGUAACUGACGCUGAGGAGCGAAAGGGUGGGGAGCAAACAGGCUUAGAUACCCUGGUAGUCCACCCCGUAAACGUUGGGAACUAGUUGUGGGGUCCAUUCCACGGAUUCCGUGACGCAGCUAACGCAUUAAGUUCCCCGCCUGGGGAGUACGGCCGCAAGGCUAAACUCAAGGAAUUGACGGACCCGCACAAGCGGCGGAGCAUGCGAUUAUUCGAUGCAACGCGAGAUCUUUACCAGGCCUUGGACAUACACGGAGACGCUGCAGAUGUAGUACUCCUUUUGGACCACCUC
rnacentral:rRNA from 1 species